UAUAAAUGAGACCAAAAAAAUAAAAAUAAAAAAAGAGAUCUUUCCCUUUCCCUUCUCCUUUCUCCUCCCUCCCACCUAUAUACGUAACUGUCACAUACAUAAUUAAGAUAUCCUCAUACCCUCGACCAACUUCAGUCACAUACUCUCUUUUCUUUCACGUUCGCUCUAGGGUUCCCCAAUUUCUAUCUCUUUAUUUUAGCUUUCUUACUGUAAUUCGUUUUGGUCCAGCUUCAAUUCAAUGCAAUCAAGCUGAAUAAUACUUCAAAUUUCUGUAACCUUUGCUUUCUAUAUGCUGGCACUUUUUAUUUAGGUUUGGGAGGUGAAAAAAAGUAAAGAAGAAAGAGGGUGGUGGGCGAUUGCAAAUGUCGGAGGAGGACUUGUUAGAAGUUAAGUUUCGGUUGUUCGAUGGAUCAGACGUGGAUCCCAGAUAUUUGAUCUGGGUCAAUAAUUUGUUAACGGGUUUUUUCUUAGGGUUUUGGUUGAUUUAAGAGUUGACUAAUAAGAUUUGACUGAUAAAAAGUAAAGCAGAGAAAGGAGUUUACCGAAGAGGUAGCCGACAGUGAUGGAGAUGCCGGAGAUGGUGGUGAGACGGAGGUAAUUGAGGGUGUUGAAAUUGGCACUUAUCUUAGUAUAAGGUUUGGCGAGUUGCUGCUGCUCCUGAAAAUGACAAAUUUCAGUACACCUAUUUUGCGCAUAAAAUAAACAGUUUCGCUACUGCUCCCAAGAAGUUGUUAGCAUCUGAUUCUCGGUUGCGCCCCGAUAGAGCUGCACUAGAGAAAGGGGACCUAUCCAAAGCUGGUGCUGAAAAGAGCAGUUUGGAGGAGAGGCAGAGAGCUGAAAAGAGAAACAGAGAGGCACAAGGACAUGAGUUCAAACCAAGAUGGUUUGAUAUGACCGACGAAAUUGCACCAACACCAUGGGGUGACUUGGAAAUCUACCAGUACAAUGGCAAGUACACCGAGCAUCGGAAAAUGGCUGAUGUUUCAGGCAGCACUGACAUAGAAGAUGUUAAAUCCGUGGACUUCAAUCCAUGGCAAUAUGGAAAUUUGGCCGAGGAAUAGCGCUGAUGCUACAUUUUUGCAUGCAUAAUUGGAUGUUCUGGUUGUGGGCUGACCUUUCUGUGUAAAAGGGAAGCAAUUGUUGUUUGUGUAAUAUGUACAUUAUAACACAUUUUAUAGCCUUGUUUUAGGAUUGAGGUUUUUCUCUUUUUAUUUUUCCUCUUCCUGUUCGCCAGAUAAGAGUUGUUUUAGUUGAAAAUUAGCAACCUCAGUUUAUGGGACAAUUUUUUUGGGAUUUUUAAUUAUUAUAUGAAUCUAUGCGCCCUUUACAUUU